rnacentral:rRNA from 1 species
AUGCAUCAGCCGCCGGGUUUUGUGGAUCCUGCACGUCCUCAUCAUCCUUGUCGUCUUGUUAAGGCGCUAUAUGGACUUAAACAGGCUCCCCGUGCGUGGCAUGCUCGUCUUGGCUCUGUUCUUCGGGCGCUGGGGUUUCUUCCCUCCACAGCUGACACGUCCCUGUUUCUUCUUCAGCGUCCUGAGGUUACGAUGUAUCUACUGGUUUAUGUUGAUGAUAUCAUCCUCAUCAGUUCCUCCGAUGCCGCUGCUGAUCAUCUUGUGGCUGCCUUGAGUGGUGAUUUUGCUGUCAAGGACUUAGGUGCUCUGCACUUUUUCCUUGGUCUGGAGGUUUCGCGGUCUUCUGCUGGGUUGACUCUUACUCAGAAGAAGUAUUCUCUGGACUUGUUGCGUCGUGCUGGAAUGCUGAAGUGUAAACAUGUGAUCACUCCGAUGUCUGCUACUGAUCGGCUGUCUGCUCUUGAUGGAGAUCUUCUUCCACCUGAUGAUGCUACUGAGUAUCGUAGUCUCGUUGGUGGUCUGUAG